rnacentral:rRNA from 1 species
UACGUAGGGGGGCAAGCGUUGUCCGGAUUUAUUGGGCGUAAAGAGCGUGUAGGCGGCCUGACAGGUCUGCUGUGAAAACUCGAGGCUCAACCUCGAGAUGUCGGCGGAAACCGUCUGGCUAGAGUCCGGAAGAGGAGAGUGGAAUUCCUGGUGUAGCGGUGAAAUGCGCAGAUAUCAGGAAGAACACCUAUGGCGAAGGCAGCUCGUCUGGGACGGUACUGACGCUGAGACGCGAAAGCGUGGGGAGCGAACAGG